AGAAAGAGCGAUCAGACCCACCUCCUCCCGGGUUGAAAUCGCUCUCGUCGCCCGCGCCACACCUCCUCCCGUGGUAGUGGGCACAUAUAGAGAACCGCAGUGCCCACCUCCUCCCGGGCGCUGCGGUUUUU
rnacentral:sRNA from 1 species